CGUCGGUUCCAGCGCUAAUCAACGCAAAGUCAGGAGGUGGUGUAGAAAUUGGCGUUGAGCUGAUACUUGCGUUGACUGUGAUUCGCACUUUGGCGACGCUGUGUGGCGGUGUUUGGUGACUCACUAUGUGACAAGCGUGCACCACAUCCCCGUGGCCGAGCAGCACGUCGCCCCACAUGACGAACCAGCAGCAGACGGAGGGAUGCGAGCUGAUCCCUGCCGGGCCGCUGUCCUCGCGCGGGAGAAUCUCAUCGCCACAGUGUGAAUGGGUAAGAAGUGAAUACACAGUUCAAUGAGCCAAAUUUAUUUAUUUUCUCCACCAGACGCUCGAGGACAUUUACGAGCCGGUCCAGCCGCUCGUUGAUCCCUGCGAUCCCCCUGAUGAUUUCUUCCUGCGAUUGCAGGACCCCCUCCGCGAGGACCCUUCCACUGCGUCCGGGUGGUCCAGCGGAAGCGCCGCGGCUGGUGGACGCUCCACCGCUUGUCGGCGCGCUGGUGCUGAUGCUGGUGCUGGUGCUGGGGCCGGGGGCCGGGGUGGCCCGAAUGCCGCUGGUCCUGGCCGACGACUCCGAGCCGGCGGACGGGCUGCCGCGGGCCGGGGUUCCGCAAGCCGGCGACACGGCCGACACAUUGAUUUCUGUGACACAAUAAAAAUAUUUGUUCAUUUCAAUUCCUGCUUCUGUGUAUCUGUUGCGUUUACAUCUCUCUCCACGGUAUCAUAGGUAAUGUAAUCCAGUAUUUAGAGGUCAGUUAUGCACAUUACAGUUGUUUAUUGCAUAAAAAGUUAUCGAAAAAUGAAGUUAAGGGCGAAGUAUAAAUCACGUCUAAAAAUAGACUGAAUCUAGACGUUGAAAUGAAGUAUAAACUUAGACUAGACGUCUAAUAUACGUCUUUUGCUCAGUGGGAUGACAAAGCAUGUGGACAUUUGUGUGACACGCCACUUACCCUAUAAUAAUAAUCGCCACCACCCGCUGCUCAAACGGUGUGAGGGUCUCCUCCCCCGGACCCCCACCUGUCUGGCCAGUACUCCUCCGGAGGGCAGCUGUACGCCGCUUGACCUCCACCUUGAGGUCCGACCACUUUUUUUUAAUCUCCGCGGGGGUGCGUGUCUCGGAACCCACCGCAUUCACCCUCUCGCAAACUUUCUCCCACUCCAAGCAUUUUCGUUUUGCACUGACGCCACUGGACAGGCUGCCAAAUAAAACACGCUGUCGCUCCUCCACCUCCGCCACCAGCACCUCCACCUCGCACGCCGUAAAUUUAGUUUUUCUUGUCAUUUUGUCUGCGUGCGAGGACAGGGAGACCCCAUUUAAAUAAAUCUGCAUAUUUAUAGGAGGGCGUAACGGGGACGGGCCCAGUCACUCCGACAUCUGCGCUCAAUUCCACGCUGAUUGGGAUUUAUCAAGGAAACACACGUGGAUUUCGGCGCCC